CCUACGGGAGGCAGCAGUGAGGAAUAUUGGUCAAUGGACGAGAGUCUGAACCAGCCAAGUAGCGUGAAGGAUGACUGCCCUAUGGGUUGUAAACUUCUUUUAUAAAGGAAUAAAACGAGGCACGUGUGCCUUUUUGCAUGUACUUUAUGAAUAAGAAUCGGCUAACUCCGUGCAAGCAGCCGCGGUAAUACGGAGGAUCCGAGCGUUAUCCGGAUUUAUUGGGUUUAAAGGGAGCGUAGAUGGGUUGUUAAGUCAGUUGUGAAAGUUUGCGGCUCAACCGUAAAAUUGCAAUUGAUACUGGCAGUCUUGAGUACAGUUGAGGUAGGCGGAAUUCGUGGUGUAGCGGGGAAAUGCUUAGAUAUCACGAAGAACCCCGAUUGCGAAGGCAGCUUACUAAACUGUGACUGACAUUGAUGCUCGAAAGUGUGGGUAUCAAACAGGAUUAGAUACCCUUGUAGUC
rnacentral:rRNA from 1 species